UUAUGCAAUUAGGCAAUUCAAUUCAGGUGCACUGUGAAAUUGGAUAGGAAUUUGUAUCGGCGUGAAAUCGAGUUAUACUGAACUUGUUGGAAAUUUAAAACGGUUUCCAAGUAAAUGCGAAACGUUCCAGUUUUAUUUAAAUAUAAAACCCCAACUUUUUGAAAGCACAAUUCAUUCGCAAAGGAAGUCUCAAUAUCAGAGUUUCAUCAUGAAUUUUUCAACAAUCUUCUUAAUAUGUAUUGCUUUAUAUAAUAGCCCACCCAGAGGAACCUAUAUUGACCCAAAGAAUAAAUAAAAUGCAUUUGCGCAUACAAAAUAAAAAUGCAAGUGCAAUUAAAAAACUAGCUUGUAAACAGCUAUGCUAUGUUUUUAAAAAAACCUUAAACAUUUAAUAAAUAGUUUGGGUAAAAUAUA